GUGAAAAUUGUAAUCCAACUUGUUGGUACUUGCCGCUGCUUGAAGAAGUUAAUCAGAAACUGCAUACUAUCCAGCCGUGAUUUGAAAUGCGCAAAAUGGAAACUUGAUAUAGACCUCCUAGACAGAAGGUUGCGCCACUUUACUACUGAUACAGACCUCUUGGACUGAAGCAUUAGUCUGCAAAGGUUAGGGGUUCUAAUGGCAGUUGAUGCUAUCAAAAAUCAUACCUGGUAGAUCUCUCGAGCUUGAGGACUGAGAAAGAGCACGAACAAAGUCUUCCGGUGCCUAAAACAAAGGCAAUGAGGUGUGUUCUCAUCGCCCCUCCGAUGCUUAAGUCAGUCAAGGAAUUUAUAUGAAAACGUAUACUAAAAUUGUAUGUAAAAACGUAUCUUAGCAAUGAGCUUUGGUUAUGUAUUUAUAGAUGUUAGCUGUAGGGGUUGUAAAAGGAUUCAACUGCAUGUAGCCCUUAUCCUUAUCAUGUAGAGUGUUUGUGUUAUAAUGAAAGUGUUUUAUUUGAGUUUGAA